GCUAGCCAAUGGUUUCGAUCCACUCUCCUCCUCUACACCCUUGGCGGAUUAAGAGAGAGUUUUUGAUACACCACGUAAUGAUUUUCAUUGGUUGCAGUCGUUACUUGCUGCAUCCAAUCAAAAAGUGCAUAUGACACGAUCACGUGUAAAUGAAGAAAUUGUAGGUAAACAACUGCCUCUAGUUGAUUAUGCAGCAACUCUUUACCCCUUAAAAUGUACGACGAUAUUUGGUGACACUUUAAAUUUACAUAAUCAACAAAUAAAAGGCCCUGUGUAUGAUUCUUGCACAAAUGUUGGAAUGUCAACAUAUAUUUUCGUUACCUGCUUCGCAAAGUUUUUAAACUCUAGACGCUACCAUGUUUUGACCUCCACACUAAAGAGUGUACAAGUCUUACCAUUGUUCAGUGGUAAUGUACCCGGAAUGGUCAUAAAUUCAAUCAUCCGCUAGAUGACGCAACAUUGUUUUCACAAAUGUUGGCUUAAUCUGCCAAGGUGGG
rnacentral:lncRNA from 1 species